rnacentral:rRNA from 1 species
CCUACGGGAGGCAGCAGUGGGGAAUAUUGCACAAUGGGGGAAACCCUGAUGCAGCGACGCCGCGUGAGUGAAGAAGUAUUUCGGUACGUAAAGCUCUAUCAGCAGGGAAGAAAAUGACGGUACCUGACUAAGAAGCCCCGGCUAACUACGUGCCAGCAGCCGCGGUAAUACGUAGGGGGCAAGCGUUAUCCGGAUUUACUGGGUGUAAAGGGAGCGUAGACGGCAGCGCAAGUCUGGAGUGAAAUCCCAUGGCUUAACCAUGGAACUGCUUUGGAAACUGUGCAGCUAGAGUGCAGGAGAGGUAAGCGGAAUUCCUAGUGUAGCGGUGAAAUGCGUAGAUAUUAGGAGGAACACCAGUGGCGAAGGCGGCUUACUGGACUGUAACUGACGUUGAGGCUCGAAAGCGUGGGGAGCAAACAGGAUUAGACACCCGGGUAGUC